GCAGCUCAGUCACAGAGCAUCUGCUUGGCAUGCGGAAGGUCACAGGUUCAAUCCCCGGUGUCGCCA